rnacentral:rRNA from 1 species
UACGGGGGAUGCAAGCGUUAUCCGGAAUCAUUGGGCGUAAAGCGCCUGUAGGUUGUUUAAUAAGUCCGUUGUUAAAGACUAGGGCUUAACCCUAGAAAAGCGAUGGAAACUACUAGACUUGAGUAUGGCAGGGGUAGAGGGAAUUUCUAGUGUAGCGGUGAAAUGCGUAGAUAUUAGAAAGAACACCGGUGGCGAAAGCGCUCUACUGGACCAUUACUGACACUCAGAGGCGAAAGCUAGGGUAGCAAAAGGGAUUAGAUACCCCUGUAGUCCUAGCCGUAAACGAUGGAUACUAGAUGUUGUAUAUAUUUUACAGUAUCGUAGCUAACGCGUUAAGUAUCCCGCCUGGGGAGUACGCUCGCAAGGGUGAAACUCAAAGGAAUUGACGGGGGCCCGCACAAGCGGUGGAGCAUGUGGUUUAAUUCGAUGCAACGCGAAGAACCUUACCAGGGCUUGACAUACUGCGAAUCUUUUUGAAAGGAAAGAGUGCCUUCGGGAAUGCAGAUACAGGUGGUGCAUGGCUGUCGUCAGCUCGUGUCGUGAGAUGUUGGGUUAAGUCCCGCAACGAGCGCAACCCUUAUUUUUAGUUACCAAUUUACUUGGGUUCUCUAGAAAGACUGCCGGUGACAAACCGGAGGAAGGUGAGGAUGACGUCAAGUCAGCAUGCCCCUUAUGUCCUGGGCUACACACGUGCUACAAUGGUUGGGACAAAGAGUUGCAAGUUUGCAAAAACAAGCUAAUCUCAUA